GAAGAAACUGAGGGUUGCUGGAGGGGAGGUGUGUGGAGGGAUGGGUUAAAUGGGUGACGGGCAUUAAGGAGGGCACUUGUUGGGAUGAGCACUGGGGGUUCUAUGUAACAGAUGAAUUAUUGGGUUCUGCUCCCCAAGCCCAGACUCCACUGUAUGUUAAGUAACUCGAAUUCAAAUUUUAAAAUAUAUAUUUUUUUCAAUAGUCAUGAAGGACAGGAAAGAAUGAGGUUCUGUGACCCCAUACUCAGAUCUGAUCACGAGGAUCUGUCCUAAUACAUUACAGAGAGAGUGAAAGGGAGCUCACAUUCCUUUGUCCAGCCUUGUGCUUGGGCGUUCACUGAGUAAUUCAUUUAAUCCUACCAGAAGUCUUACAGGGAACAUAUGAAUCUCAUUUGACAGGUAAGAAAAUCGUGACACGGAGAGGCUAAAUGACACCCAGUCUGGAGGGGAAAGGACACGGGCUUCUGCAUCAGACAGAUCUGUGCUUGACUACCAGCUCCCUUUCUACAGCAGGGACCCACCCUGGGACAAGCCAGUGCCCCUGAGUCUCAGUUUGCUCAUCUAUAAAUGGGAAUGAUAUCUACUACAUAGUGACAAAUAACGGAGCCAAGGCUUUCUUUUUUGUCAGGUUGUUAGGAUAAAGUUACAUCUUUCUGCUGGACCCAUUGGGUGAAUUCUCGUGAGGUUUCCACAGGUGGUUCACCCCAUGCAUAUUCCAAGCCCGGCCUUGGGUUGGUGCUUGGAGAGAGAACCAUGCACAGAUGGGCCAGGGGACCAGGCUGCACUCUGACUCCUGAAUUGCAGGCAUGUUAGUCACUCAACCAUUAUGGGUCUGAGAAUUUCCUAGCGAGCUUGGAGCAUCUCAAAAUCCUGACCCAUGUAAGUCUGACUGGGGCCAGAGUCUGCCCUUGUGACAAUGUCCCCUGCAGAUUUUGAUGCACAGGGUUCCAAGAACCUGCUGUAAAGGACAAGAUAAGCCUGAGAGAAGAGAGCCUUGAGCAGAGGUAGGGGGUGGAGCGGGCUCAAUGUGGUAAUGCCUCAGGUGUAUCAUGGAGGUCCAGUAAGACCCCACACUGCUUUGCAGCCUGUAUUUCCAGGGACAGUCCUCUUAUUCCUCAGCAUCUCCAAGAUUCCUGCCCAGAAGGAUUUAGUGUAUAUAGGCAUGUAUCUCCCGGAGUAAAACCACACACCCCUCAGCAGCUCACAAGGACACUCUUCACCCUUGCAUACUCCUCUGACCUCACCUCCUCUGGCCACACUGGCUCCUUGCUGGUCCCUAACCACACCCAGCCCCCUGCCACCCCAGGGCCCUAUCACUGCUCUUCCCAUAGCUGUCCCUGUGGGUCACUCCUCGGCUGCUUCACGGCCUUACUUACAGACCACCUUCUCCACGAGUCUGUCCCUGACCACCCUACUUAGAAGACACUACCCCCGCCUUCUGACACUCUCUGUGCUUUAUUUUUCCUCACUGGCACCUAUUCUGCUCUAAGAAACCGUAUGUUGUACAUUUUAAUUUUUAUGAUCUGUCUCUGUGCAGUUGGGUUUCAGCCCCAAGAGAAAGAGGGAUCUGAUGCUGUGUCUGCUUUUUUCCCUGCUGUGUCCCCGCAUUGCCGAUGGUGUCUUGUGCACAGUAGAAGUUUCGAGUGAGUACUUGUGCACUGAGUGAAUGUAAGAUGUAAGGAAAGGAGGAAUUUAGUGCAGUUCAGACUGGCCAGACUGCGGGUCCACAAGCUUCACUUCAGGUGGCGUUAAGGCACAGGGCUGGCCUUUGGGGGACACUGGGAUGCAAAAUUAGUGCUUUGGGAGGCGUGGGUGCUUGCUGUUGAAGACGGAGUCCCUUCAUGGUCUCCAGGACUUCUACACCAUGGAUGGGAGACCUCUAACACUCUUUCUACCAGCUGCCAUCCCAGCCAGGGUGGAGCCCAAGGGGGCCUCAGCCUAGGGAUAGGACAUCUCUGCCCUGCAUGGUGCCCUAUUGGAUAUGGGGUGAGGGGCCCAUCCUGUAACCCUCCAUGCUUCCAUUUCAUUCCUGGUGAGGAUCAUAACUAGAGGCAGGAUACAAUGCCCAGCACAGAGCCUCUCAGUCACCCAUCACAGGCACCCACCCCACCACCAGCACAGUGUUACCCAGGCAGGCCUGGCCCCUCCUGGAGCACAAGUUUCCAAGUCUGACAUGUCCUCUGCGAGUCUCUCUAAAUCCUCCUCACCCUGAAGUCCCAUUUGCUCCCUCAGGAAGACAGCUCUGGCCAUAUGUGUGUGUACUGGGGUGGGGUGAUGAUGUAGUAGGACAAGGGGCAUCUUGCGAAUCUUCUUCCUCACUCAUUACUUGUGCCUCACCGUUUAAAAUCCUAUUGCAAAUCUCUUGCAGACUGGGUUCUGGUGCUAACAUUUGCAUCUUGCCCAGUUAUAUUCCACAGAUGGUUUCUCAGUGAACAGAUGAGUGAAUGAACAAGUCAGCGGCACCUGUCAGGUGUCAUUCCUUCUCUUUUUGCACAUGAAUGUUCGUAACACCUUUAUUCCCAACAGCCCAGAGAUGGGAAGAGCCCAGAUGUCCAUCAACUGAUGAGUGGAUGAACAAGACGGGUUCUGUCCACACAGUGGAAUACUACUCAGCCACACAAAGGAAUGAAACCCUGAGACACACUGCCAAGUGGAUGGACCUCAAAAAUGUCACUCUGACUUAAAACAGCCAGACAUAAAUGGUCAUCUAUUGUCUGAUUCCAUUUAUAUGAAAUGUCCAAAAUAAGAAAUAGAGACAGAAAGCAGAGAAGUGCUAUCCAGGGGCUGGGGAGAGGGGAGGUUGGGAGUGAUGGCUUAGUGGCUAUGGGUUUUUUUGGGUGAUGAAGUGAUUUUGAACUAAAUACAGGAGGUAAUUGCACACCACUGUGGACGUGCUAACUGCCAAUCAAUUGUAUACUUUACAACAGGCUAAUGUUAUAUUACAUGAAUUUCACCUCAGUAAAAACACAAAAAACAAAAAACAACAACAA